CAACCUGAAGGCUCAGGCACGAACAAAGGAAAAAGGAAAGCUGAUUGAAUAAGUGUGUAUUAUGAGUUAAUGGUUAUAGUUGUAUUGGUAUCUAUUCAAGUAUUGUAAGGAAUGUAUUUGAAGGCCACGUACCUGGGGAAGUAAACUUUGAUGUAUGUAAAUUAAGUUCGAAUGUAUUAUUAUUUAGUAUUAUUUAGCUUAAAGAAAUGGUAUCGUGGGGAACCGAGUUCGGGUUUCAAGU
rnacentral:lncRNA from 1 species